ACUCAUACUCAUGGGUGAAUACUUGGUUUGGCUUUUCAUCACUAGAAAACAACAAAACGGGUGUCACUGCCCAGUCUUUGCCUUGCCCUUCUUCUUCAGACACAACACAAACACAAACAUUUCUAUCUCAUCAUAUAAUACCACCUGCAAUACAUAUAUGUAACUAUAUCUGUGUGUCACAAUUGAAAGAGACACACAAAGUCUCAAAGUCAAUAUACUCAAGGCCAGUUUCUUGGGAUUUUCAAUCUUCAUUUUUUCUUAUAAGGCCUUGUGUUUAAGGGGUUUGCUGAUGCAGCAAAGGUGUAACAGAUCAAGAAUCUAUUGUUUCAAGACAGGUGAGUGAAAAAAUCAUUCCUUUUUAUAAGUUCUUUCAUUCAUUCUUGCACAAUCAGUGACUUGGGUCUUUGACUUGUCAUAAAGAUUCAGUUUAGACUACUCUUUUAAUGGCUACAUAUAUGAUACUAGCAAAUUUUGUGGCAUGACUUAGGGCUAUAAUCAAUGGAAUAUGCAAGUGUUUGUUGUUGGUAAUCUUGAUAUAUAAAGAUUUGACCUUUGGGAUUUCAAGCUGUGCAAUGUCAGAGGUCAGAUACCAAAGAUGGCUUUUUGAGCAUACCCACAUGAAAGUUUCUUGGAUUAAGUAUUCAAUUAAGCAGAAAGAUGAAAUCUUGACAUACCCACCUCCAGUUUAUCCUCUACCUUCAUCUCCUUAUGGUACUUCUAUUGCUUUCCAUAAACAACCACCUGCUUCACCUUCAUCUUCCCCUAAAAUUAAUCCUGCUGUUCUUUUCAUUAUUGUGAUUUUAGCUGUCUUGUUUUUUAUAUCUGGGCUUCUGCAUUUGCUAGUUAGAUUUUUGACAAAACACCAAUCUUCGACAUCGUCGCAGUCGGAUAGAGUUGAGGUGUCUUCUAGAUCAGAUGCUCUUGAAAGACAGCUACAACAAUUGUUCCAUUUACAUGACUCGGGUUUGGAUCAAGCUUUUAUUGAUGCUUUGCCUGUGUUUAUGUACAAGGAGGUUGUGGGUUCGAAAGAACCGUUUGAUUGUGCUGUUUGUUUGUGUGAGUUUACUGAUAAGGAUAAAUUGAGAUUGCUUCCGACUUGUAGUCAUGCGUUUCAUAUUAGUUGUAUUGAUACAUGGCUGCUUUCAAACUCGACAUGCCCUCUUUGUCGAGGGACACUUUUCAGUCCUGGAUUCUCAGUUGAAAAUCCAAUGUUUGAUUUUGAUGAUCCAAACGAUGAUGAGUGUCAUGGUAAUAGAAGAUAUGCAUUAUCUUCCAAUCAGAAAACUGUUGAAAUUGAGGAAAUUGCAGUCGAAUCUGGCGUUCUACCUGUUAGACUUGGUAAGUUUAGAAAGUUGGAUGGGUCGGACAGCGCGGGAGGGGAGACUAGUAGUAGCAAUUUAGAUGCAAGAAGGUGCUACUCAAUGGGUUCAUAUCAGUAUGUGGUUGCUGAUACAAGUCUUGAGGUAGCAUUGAACAAUGUAAGAGAUGGUAGUGAUGCGAAACUUGUAAAAAGUAAGGAAUGCAGCCAUAGUUCUUUUCCUGAUGGGGACAACAACGGGAAAAAGAUUAGUAUUGGGACAAAAACCGACAGCUAUUCUGUUUCAAAGAUAUGGCAAUGGUCUAAGAAAGGCCAAUUUUCAGGUUCUUCAAACACUCAAUUGGAUUAUCCUUCCUCUCUUGAUCACGAACUUCCAUGGAUGAGGAAAACUGAAGGUAUAUGAAAAUUAUAAUAUUUACUUUUUACUGAUUAAUGAUCAGACAGAUUAUUUAACCAACUGAGCUUCCUGACAUUUAAAUUUAAAUCGUAUUUGUGUGUAGCUCACCGCUAGGUCAAACCUUUUAUCCAUAGUUUAAAUAGAACUUACCAACCGGUCUGAUUUGUAAAGGUACUUUCAAGUUUAAGUUUUGAUAUGGUUACAUGACAAAUAUAUAGAAUGCAAUCUUCUUGUUGAGAGAACCUUUAAAUCAUCAUAUUGGCUGGUUAUAUGUGUUAGGGUCCCCCAGAUAACUUGAAUAAUGUGUUUGGGACAUAGUCUUGUAGCUUCUGCUGUUGUUAAGUUACACCAACUGCAGAACAUGACCUACCAAGAGAGAGCCGCAAGGCUUAUAUAUAAGUGAGCUCAAGUAACAAAAAAAAAUAAAACUGUCUCAUAGUAGCUGACCAAAGAUUCCAAAUGUUGUUCUUCAACCGCAAUUAGUUAGAGAUAUUUUUGGCAACAGUUUCUGAUCAAACCUAAAUAGACAUCAAAUUUUGAAAAUCAAAUUCCUCUCAUAGAUCUGAACCAAGAAAUUCUCUUAUGUUGUAAAACAAGAUUCUUAUCAUGCGUAGUAUUGGCAUUAAAUUCUUUUUUUGUAUGAUGGUCGAUUGUAAAAAAAUAUGAUAUUCGCACUUGAUCCGCUUGGGCGUCGAGGCCCUCGACCCUUGUUCCGAGAAGUGUAUCCACUGUUUAUGAUGCUAAAUUAUAUCACGUUAAGAAUUCCAUGUUGUUAAGUAGGAUUAAAAGCUUUCGCAAAUCUUGAUCUCAAAUGUCUAAAUAAGCUUUAGGAUGGUCAACAACUUCUUUUGCUUGCACAUUUCUCCUCAAUCUUAGCUUUGCUUUUCAUUGUUGAUCUCCUUUUUAUCUUAUUGUUGUUUGUGACCAUGCCUUUUGUUAUAGUCAUAUAGUGGGAGCCAAGCACCAUGUUUGGCAUCUUUUUUUAUUGUGGGAUCCAUGAUGACAGUGAGGAAAUUUGACCAUUUCUACUAAUUUUAAAUAGUUAGUGUUAGCUUUGAUGUGCUCAUGAUGCCCUCUAUCCCUUUUUUUUGACUAUAUAUAUACUGUCAUGUGUAAAUUCCAAGUUCAUAUAAUGAUUUUCAAGUUUAAUGUGUGGAUUUAUACCUAGAUCUCCACAUUGGUUUCAACUUUUAGUAGGGUCAAGAUUUACUUACCUAAAAAAUAUUAAAUGAUUUGAGAUACAAUAUGUAAAGAAUAAAAAAAGGGAAGUAUAAUAAACCAAUUGGUUCCCUAUUUCUGCAAGUACACAUAUGUAAAGCUUUGGGCUUCUGCUAGAACAUCUCUGUCAUGGCUAUGGCUUAUUUAAGCAACAGUUUCAAUUAUUAGUUGUUGGGGAGUUUAUGUUAUUUGUUUAAUAAUGUUUUUCUAAACUCAGAAAGAUAUUAGAUUAUGAGAUGGUUAAAUCAGUCUCAUAAACAUUUCCACAAAAAAUGACUAAUUGUUUGUUGAUAUUAGUUUUAGAACCUUAAUGAAAUUUGUGGUCUUGCUGCUUAUGAGUUAUAUUUUACAUUGGUACUUUGACAUGCAACCAAGCAAUUUAAUAAUAAAAUAUUAUCAAUCAAACACGACUACAAUAUACGGUUUCUGUAUAUUUGUAUAAAAGUAUUGUUUUGGUUCAGCUGAGUAUUUUAAAACAGAGUACUAAUCAGAGUUCAGCGAUAUAUUCCCAGUUACUCGGAUUUAGCUAGAAUGGUCUGAUAUGGAUAUGUGUGUGGACUCAGUUAGAAAUGUCUAAGUAUCUAUGUAUCAGGCUCGGUAGUAUUUUGAAAAUUUUUAUAUAUUUUUGGUCUAAAAUAAAUGUAUAUGUCCGACACAGAUACUUUGAAGUAAAAUUAAAUGUAUGAGUAACAUAAAUUCUAAUUAUAAAAUAUUAUACGAGUAAUAAUCUAAAAUAAGUGUAUAUGUCUGAUACGGAUACUUUGAGAUAAAAUUAAGAGUACGAGUAACAUAGAUUUCAAUUAUGAAAUAUUAUACUGUAUUAAUAAUCUGAAUAUAUAAUUUUCAAUUAAUACUUCAUUUAAAUAAUGUCACUGAAUAUAUGCCUAAAAAUAUAAUUUCUAUUCAAAGGGUCCACUAUCAAACAUGUAAAGGUGAUCAUCAAAAAAAAAUGUUACGUUGGUAUUAAAGAUAUCGGAUUCGAUGGAGCAGAAAAUAUUCGAAACUGUAGGUGAUACUCGCAAAUUUAUAACAGAGAGUUCGCUCCCGUAAAAUUAACGAACGUUACAAACUUAUUCAAAAAUAUUGACGACUUGCCAGAUGAACAAGGGGUACAAAUGCUAUAAGAGAUCUUAAAGACACCUAAUUAAACCGCCUCAAAUAAAAUUACACCUAAUUAAAACAGGAUCGAAUAAAAACUGCGUAGAUAUUUUGAAUUUGGUUUUGAUUUCCGAAAAUUUUAAAACAGGAUACAAAUCGAACCGACUGCAAUAAUAUUUUUAUUUAUUUAUUUUAUAUAUUUAAAUUAUAUCUAUUAUAUAUUAUAAUUAUGUAUAUGACUAUAUAUGCGUUCUGUCAUUUUCUUAUCAUCAGUGUCACGUUUUUGAGGCAAUAAAGACCGUAAAUCUUGAUUUUCAAGCAUGGAUAUAGGAAUACUGUAAAUCAUACUGUACAAAAGAUGUUGCAAGAAUCUGAUGAAAUUUUAAGUAAGCAAUUUAGAACCGCAAGCAUCAUAUUUUCAUUAGUGAUAACAUAUUUAGAUCAUGUUUGAUGGGCUUAAAAUAAAUUACUUAUGCUUUAAAGUUGGUUUAUGUGGUUUUAAGUUAAAUGUGAAAGUUUAGACUUUAAGUUACAUGUGAGUGUUUGGGUAUUUAAACUUAAAAUUAAUCAUCCUCUCCCUCUCCCCCCUCUCUCCCUCUCCUCUCUCUCUCUCUCUCCCCAGUACAAUUACCUCAGCACAAAUCAAUAUCCGAUUUUCAACCUAUUGUUCUAAAACCCCGCAAGUGAGAAAUCCUCUCUCCCUCCCUCCUCUCUCAAUUUCUCUGAUGAAAACUAUGAUAUGUAUAGUCAUCAACGCAUCACUAGAAAUGGUGUCCGAGUCAACGGAGGUUAUGAGUCCGAAUGCUCACAGCUGUCAAAGCUCAUAUCUACAGAAAUACAAUUAAAAACAAGAAAAACAGGUAGCAUGAUCAUACAAGAUGGGACGUUUCUCUUUUCGGACAUUAAGUAUUAUUGUCUAAACUUCCGGAGACAUUUUCAUGUCUUUCGGUUAGAUAAUAAGCUUUUUGAAUGAAAGAAACUCCUCGGAGUAUUGUUGUA